UACGUAGGGUGCGAGCGUUAAUCGGAAUUACUGGGCGUAAAGAGUGCGUAGGCGGUUUCUCAAGUCCGCUGUGAAAUCCCCGGGCUCAACCUGGGAAUGGCAGUGGAAACUAGGAGACUUGAAUCUGGCAGAGGGGGGUGGAAUUCCACGUGUAGCAGUGAAAUGCGUAGAGAUGUGGAGGAACACCUGUGGUGUAGACAGCUUACUGGACCACUUCUGACGCUGAGACACGAAAGCGUGGGUAGCAAACAGG
rnacentral:rRNA from 1 species